GGCUACUGAGGGCUGUGCUCCAAGUGUCAUCUCCCCGGUCAGGCGGCCAAUGCAGAAGCGCUGAGCGUGGACAGCCAGUAGGGCCCACGAGCGAAAAACCAUGUCACAGGACCCACAGGGCAGGAGCCCUGGCUCUCCAGAAGAGGCCUCUGAUAGGCAAGGGCCGCCGUUUGCACUGCUGCGCUGCACCACGUGACGCCAUUCUCCAGCCAAGGGAAGGACACUCGCAGAGGCGGCGUUCCACCCGGAAAACCUUUCUCUCAGAAUGAAAAGCCCUUCUCAGACACGCCUCUCCAGAAGCAAACACUUCUGCCACAACCAAGUCUCACCAGGCACAGUGGUCUCUCCCUCCCUCCCCCAGAGCCCAUUCUUCUCAGCUGUAAGAGGGAGAUAAUCCGCACGGCCCAAGUGAAAGCUGUGGGAGAACAAAAUAAUAAUACAGCAGAUGCUGCAGUCGA